GGAGGUGAGAAAAUUGAUAUUAAAGCCUUGUGGGGUUUCGAUUGGCAUUCUGGGUAAUGAAUGUCUAUCGGGACAUCGCGGCUAUUAUCACGAGCUCAAGGAGAGUACCGGGUCGUGACAAAUUGCUAAUGACACCAAUUUUGAUUGAAGGAUAUGUGACAAUGCACAUAUAUACCAAUGAUUAACUCCUCCUUAAGAAAUCAUAAAAUCAGUGGUUGGUGAAUGAAACAUGAAACAAAAAAAAGAAAGGAUAAAGAAAAUAAUCACUUUAAAGCACAAUCUUACUCCCGCUUUAAGAAAUCAUGAUACUAAUAUGUUACCAAUUGUUAAAAUAGAAAUCAUGAGGCUAAAAUAAAUGAAUAUUCAAGUAGAUAUUCAACAUGUUCAUCAAAUACUCAUAUAUUCAUGAAACUAGAUAAAGAUAGUAUGAGUAUUCAAGUAGAUGGUCAACAUAUGCAUCAAAUACUCAUAUUUUUAAGAGAUAUUUGCAAAAAUGUUUCAAGGCAUGUCCAUGGUAUCAUUAACAAUUAAACAUCAUCAAGCAUUAUCAAGCAAUAUCAAAUAUUAUUUGUAACACCCUUGAUUUUGAUAAGAACUAUCUGAUAUGAACUAAGCCAAUUGAGGAAUUUGAUUGAAUCCAUGAUGUGUGUGUUUAAAGAUUUAAGAAUAUGCCUAUGUGUAUAGAGAAUAAUUUUGAAAUAUAUUGUGUAUUUGAGGACCUUCUUUGAUGUGUAAAAUAUGUUAAGUGUAUGAAGCCUAUAUUAUAACACUUAGGUAAUUUUUUAUGAAAAUAUGUGAUGAAUCUUAAAGUUUAAGGUUUUAAUCUAAGUUUGAUCUUAUAUUUGAGAAUAUAUGUAGGGGAAUUUGAGUUAAAAUAAUUUGUUUGAAGUGUGACUUUAAUAGGAAAUGAUUUAGGGUGUUAAGAUUUGGACUUUUGGAAGUUGAAAGUGUUGGAAAUGUGCUUCAGGGAUAAAUGUAUUAAUACAUUCUUGGC
rnacentral:lncRNA from 1 species